rnacentral:rRNA from 1 species
ACCCUUAGAUGUCCUGGGCUGCACGCGCGCUACACUGAUGUGUCCAGUAAGCACCUAACCUCUUCCGAAAGGAACGGGUAACCUUUACAAAGCACAUCGUGAUGGGGAUAGAUUAUUGCAAUUAUUAGUCUUGAACGAGGAAUUCCUAGUAAGCACAAGUCAUCAGCUUGUGUUGAUUACGUCACUGCCCUUUGUACGCACCGCCCGUCGCUCCUACCGAUUGAAUGUUCCGAUGAAUACCAUGGACUGAGAGUAUGAAUGGGUUCGCCUAUUUCUGCUUCUCGGGAAGUGGAGUAAAUCUUAACAUUUAGAGGAAGGAGAAGUCGUAACA